GGGGUUUUACUGCGGACUCAUAAUCCGUUGGUCCCAGGUUCAAGUCCUGGUUGCCCCA
rnacentral:tRNA from 1 species